ACUCCCGACGGUGACUCGGCGAGCGCCGCUACAGCGCUACUCCUUCUCGCCAAACAAACGGCAAGUCAUCAGCGACGCACAGCGCCGACGUCGUCACCGCCACCGCCACACUCACGUCACGCCAUUCCGUCCGCAGCAAGGUCCUAUGGUGUAUGGAUGUAUGCACUGCGCGUAUUCUUACAUUAACACUCUUGCGACCCUCAAAUUCGCAGAUUCAAAGACCUUGAAGGAGGAACAAAGAGAGGAGCUAUUUGAAAGUUUAAAGGUCAAUAGCUCUAUUAGGUGGGAAGUGGAUGUCAUACGCCCAAAGGAUCUAUCUGCUAAAAUGUUAAAAAAAGUCGAAAGUUAAUCUGAAUGAAAUAUCACAUAACUCUGCCAUGGGCCUUGUUAGAAAAGUUCUUGACAUGGGAGUUCUACUGGCAGAAGCAUAUAUAGAUACAGUGGGAGAUCUUAAAAAGUACAGAAUCAAGCUGACAGAAAAGUUUACAGGGUUCAAAUUUGUGGUUGCCAAAAAAGUUGAUAGCCUUUACACUGUUGUUAGUGGAGCAAGUAUAGUUGCAAAGGUCACUAGGGAUAGAGCGCUGUGAAACUGGGUGUUUGAUGAAACAACUCUGAUUCUGCACAUGAGAAAUGGAUCAGGAUAUCCAAGAGACCCUGAUACUAAGCGGUGGUUAGAAGAUCACAAGCAUCUGGUAUUUGGCUUCUUCAAGGACGCAGUCGCUGUGACAUGGGAGUCUGAUGAAGUUGAUCAAGAAGAGACCGACAGUGGAGACACCAAGGAGUUUAUUGGAUCCGUAGUAUCCCCAACAACGGGCUUCAGAAAAAUGUUAUCCCCAACAUUGUAAUUGGACUUUCGGUAUUAUAACAGUCUUUCCUUUGGUAUUUCAGUAUCCUGCACAGACUUAACCGUUGUCCACGUUCAUCAACGACU